rnacentral:rRNA from 1 species
AUACGGAGGGUGCAAGCGUUAAUCGCAAUUACUGGGCGUAAAGCGUACGUAGGCGGUUCGUUAAGUUAGAUGUGAAAGCCCCGGGCUUAACCUGGGAACUGCAUUUAAAACUGGCGAACUAGAGUUGAGUAGAGGGGAGUGGAAUUUCAGGUGUAGCGGUGAAAUGCGUAGAGAUCUGAAGGAACACCAGUGGCGAAGGCGGCUCCCUGGACUCAAACUGACGCUGAGGUACGAAAGCGUGGGUAGCAAACGGGAUUAGAAACCCCAGUAGUCC